UACGUAGGGUGCAAGCGUUAUCCGGAAUUAUUGGGCGUAAAGAGCUCGUAGGCGGUUUGUCGCGUCUGCUGUGAAAACUGGGGGCUCAACUCCCAGCCUGCAUUCGAUACGGGCAGGCUAAAGUUCGGUAGGGGAGACUGGAAUUCCUGGUGUAGCGGUGAAAUGCGCAGAUAUCAGGAGGAACACCGGUGGCGAAGGCGGGUCUCUGGGCCGAUACUGACGCUGAGGAGCGAAAGCGUGGGGAGCGAACAGG
rnacentral:rRNA from 1 species